CAGCCGCCGCGGUAAUACGUAGGGUGCGAGCGUUACUCGGAUUUACUGGGCGUAAAGCGUGCGCAGGCGGCCCGUUAAGACAGGUGUGAAAUCCCUGGGCUCAACCUAGGAAUUGCGCUUGUGACUGGCGGGCUCGAGUACGGUAGAGGGGGGUGGAAUUCCUGGUGUAGCAGUGAAAUGCGUAGAGAUCAGGAGGAACACCGAUGGCGAAGGCAGCCCCCUGGGCCUGUACUGACGCUCAUGCACGAAAGCGUGGGGAGCAAACAGGAUUAGAUACCCUGGUAGUCCACGCCCUAAACGAUGGGUACUAGCCGUUUGGUGCGCGAUAGCGCUGAGUGGCGAAGCUAACGCGUGAAGUGCCCCGCCUGGGGAGUACGGCCGCAAGGUUGAAACUUAAAGGAAUUGGCGGG
rnacentral:rRNA from 1 species